rnacentral:rRNA from 1 species
UACAUAGGAGGCGAGCGUUAUCCGGAGUUAUUGGGCGUAAAGGGUACGUAGGCGGCUGGUCAUGUCUGGGGUUAAAGCCCACUGCUUAACUGUGGGGGGGCGUUGGAGACUGACCGGCUGGAGUGGGGCAGGGGUUGCGGGAAUUCCCGGUGUAGCGGUGAAAUGCGUAGAUAUCGGGAAGAACACCUGUGGCGAAAGCGCCCAACUGGGCCGAAACUGACGCUGAGGUACGAAAGCUAGGGGAGCGAAUGGG